CAGAAUAUAGCUUAAACAAAGCAUUUUGCUUACACCAAAAAAAUAUCUAUAAUAGAUUAUUCUG
rnacentral:tRNA from 1 species